rnacentral:rRNA from 1 species
CAGUAGCCACGGUAACACGAGGGGAGCUAGCGUUGUUCGGAAUUACUGGGCGUAAAGCGCGCGUAGGCGGCUUUUUAAGUCAGAGGUGAAAGCCCGGGGCUCAACCCCGGAAUUGCCUUUGAAACUGGAAAGCUAGAAUCUUGGAGAGGUCAGUGGAAUUCCGAGUGUAGAGGUGAAAUUCGUAGAUAUUCGGAAGAACACCAGUGGCGAAGGCGACUGACUGGACAAGUAUUGACGCUGAGGUGCGAAAGCGUGGGGAGCAAACAGGAUUAGAUACCCCGGUAGUCCCUGUCUCUUAUAC